rnacentral:rRNA from 1 species
GUGGGGAAUUUUGGACAAUGGGCGAAAGCCUGAUCCAGCCAUGCCGCGUGCAGGAUGAAGGCCUUCGGGUUGUAAACUGCUUUUGUACGGAACGAAAAGACUCUGGUUAAUACCUGGGGUCCAUGACGGUACCGUAAGAAUAAGCACCGGCUAACUACGUGCCAGCAGCCGCGGUAAUACGUAGGGUGCAAGCGUUAAUCGGAAUUACUGGGCGUAAAGCGUGCGCAGGCGGUUAUAUAAGACAGAUGUGAAAUCCCCGGGCUCAACCUGGGAACUGCAGUUGUGACUGUAUAGCUAGAGUACGGCAGAGGGGGAUGGAAUUCCGCGUGGAGCAGUGAAAUGCGGAGGUAUGCGGAGGAACACCGAUGGCGAAGGCAAUCCCCUGGGCCUGUACUGACGCUCAUGCACGAAAGCGUGGGGAGCAAACAGGAUUAGAAACCCUAGUAGUCC